CUGACAAGACCUGAAAAAAUGUAUACAUUGAAGAAUGAAUGAGUUAAUUUAUGAAUGAGGGAAGUAAUAGAGGAAAGAGGGAGCGAGGGAGGGAAGAGAGACAGAAGGCCCUCAGCACCCUGUGAGGAGUGAGGGGUGAGGGCAGGGCCUGGGUGCUCCGCUCCUAGCCCCCGUGUGACCGAAUCACAGGAUUUCCUAGACAGCUGACAUGCAGGCGGUCAUGUGCCCCAGCUGGCUCCAGGGG
rnacentral:lncRNA from 1 species